UGUUCUGUAACACAAGCCAAGAAAAGCCAGAGCUCUGGUCUUACAAUUACUUUAACACAGCUUUAGAGAAAGUAAAAUUGCGCAGUAAAUUGUAUAUUAAAGCUACAGGUGCAAAGCAUUUUUACUUAGGUAGAAUCCUUUUAUUUACCUGGCUGGCUGAUAUAUAUGUAGUGAGGUUUAAAUCAGUCUUUGAAAACGGCAAGAAAAUUCUAUUCCCUUCCAAGUUCAAUGCAGAAAUCUCAAUCCAAACAAGCCAGUUGUAUCAAUGAGAGUAUAUUGUGCCAACUUCUAAAGAUGAUGUCACUGACAAAAGAGUGUUGUGAAAUGUUUAAAGGAACCAAGGGUGGAUUAUCACAGUGGAGGAGCCCUCCUUCACGAUAAACACUACCCUGGUGGUUUUCAUAUGAACUGCCAGUCUAAACUUGUUCAAACCUCACCCUCUUUUUGACUUAAAUACCAAUCUGAAGAAAAUCUGCUUUAUCCUGUACUUUUUCUAAGGAUCAAUGUCCUUUGAAUGCUGCAAUCCUGGGAUUGCUGUUGCAUUUUAAUAUAUAACUGAUGACACAACAGUCCCCAGUAAGUCAUCUGAAGACCUGGUAAUAAAUUUUAGAGGUCCACAACCUACAACCUGUUUCUGGGACAUGUUUUAGAGAACUCCAGGCCACCUACCCACUAAUGAGAGUUACAACUGACACUUCCUAAAGAACCAGAACUGCACAGCCCUACCAUUCAAGCUGGGCCUGUACCACCAUGUGAGCUAAAGAAGCCAUGGCUUCAGGAAGUACACAGGACUUCUCCAAAAGUUUGCUAUCACAGGCAAAAAAACCAGUCAUGAAAUACAGACACUGAAAUCCACAAAAAGAGAGAGACACUUUCAGACCUGAUUUCCUGGCAAAAGGAAGAAUUGCAGUCACUUGCACGUAGGGUGCAGGAGUGUGUGUAAAGGCAAGCAGGAGGGCAGUGGGUGGUAGUCACUGACUGCGGUGUAUGCUUUCAAAAAAAAUGAAACUCAGAUAUAAGCCAUCUAUUCCUGUCUGACUCCUGACAACUGACUUAUAAUGCAAUCUCUAUCUUCAUAUCUUAGAAAAGAUUACUGAAAAAAACAGAUGUGCAGCAGUCAAAGUAUGGGUCACGGUGACCAGCUUCUUUGGUUAAACUACUAAAUUCAGUCUGGGAAUAACUGAUCUUGGUCCAGUUUUUGAUAAAUCCAAAAGCAUUAGUUUAGAUAUCAGCAGAUUUUUAAAUCUGUACUGCAAAUAUCUUUCCACCUCAGCUGUGAAAAUUGAUGACAUUCAUGGUGCAGUGCUCUCUGAGUCGCUCAAUAAAAUUCCUUUUGGGGAUUAAAAAUCAUUCAUCUUCUUCAAUGCCUCCUUAAUUUCAGAUUCUCACAACUCGUCACUCCAAGUGAGCACGUGUUAUUUGGACUCACAAACAUGUGCCAGGCAUCACUCAGCACGCAGAAAUACAUCCACCCUAUCUGUCAAGAGGCUACACUCCAACAGAGGCAUCCGAGAAGACACCGGGGCAAGCAGGGGCAGCAAAGGAGUCUUAAGGGACAUGAAAAACCAAGGGGCAUCAGAGAAUCACUACCAAGGUCUUUGCUUUGCCUGGAGGAGUGGUUGAUGGCUGCCAUGCAUGGGAAGUCUUGUGCAGUACAUCCAGGAUCUCACUAUGACACAGGAGACCAGGUGGAGGGAUGGGCUUUCCUCUUCCUCUGGAGAGGAAAGGUGAGCUGGCCUGGAGGGGAAAAAAGUAACAGCAGGCAAUAAACUGCAGAAAUGGAGAAGAAAAUACUGAAGUUCACAAGAGGGUGAGAGAAGUUCAUCAAUGAAGUAAAAGUGGAAAAAACCCAAUAAAUUGAAAACAGGCUUUUUGAAGAGGGAAGAAAGGUUUGAAAUGGCAGGUGAGAAGGACUGAAGUAAAUAAGCAGGAGUUAUGACAGCUGGUAUGACAGCUUCGGAGGUGGGGACAGGAAGAAGGGGAAAGAAAAAUCAGAGCAGGAGGCAGAAGAGGUAAAAGCACUGUGAACAGCCGGGUCAGUAAAGAGGACAGAAAAGAAACGUGAGCUCCUGGAGGAGUGUUAACAACAAUUCACAUUCACAAGACAUGUGGGAGUUACCGACAUACAGAGACAGGAGAAGAGCUUGGAAAUCUUCAGAGGAAAGAGCAAAAGAACAGCUGGAGACCUGAGAAUCGUCUCAAGCCACGAUGCUCCGAGAUCAAUAUUCGAGGAGGUGCUGGAGAGGUGGUCCUUCAAUGCUUUAUCAAGGUCAUCAGGUGACAAGCGUCACCCGUGUUCUCCCGUGAAGCCACGGAGCAGCGCUCCUGCACGGAGGGUCUCGGAGCUCGGUGUGGCCAGCCAGCCCGGCUGAGGUGCCGCUUGUUCUCCGAGCCCCCGCCUGUGCCCUCGAAGGAGCGGGUGCGACAGCAGCUGCCCUCGGUCUGCGGGGGGUGCGGCGGGAGGCUGUGAAGGGGCGGGGGCCCGGCAUCCCUGCCGCACCGGCGGCGAGCUGAGGCGGCCGCAGUGGAAAAACCCCAGCGGGGCGUGA